UACAGAGGUCUCAAGCGUUGUUCGGAUUCAUUGGGCGUAAAGGGUGCGUAGGCGGCGCGGUAAGUCGGGUGUGAAAUCUCGGAGCUUAACUCCGAAACUGCAUUCGAUACUGCCGUGCUUGAGGACUGGAGAGGAGACUGGAAUUUACGGUGUAGCGGUGAAAUGCGUAGAUAUGUGGAGGAACACCGAUGGCGAAGGCAGCCCCCUGGGUUAACACUGACGCUCAUGCACGAAAGCGUGGGGAGCAAACAGG
rnacentral:rRNA from 1 species